CACACACACACACACACACACACACACACAAGCAGUGUAUUCAAUGCAUUGAUUUUGUCACUGUAUCAUUUGUUCACUUGUAUACUGUAAACUGUAUAUAUACAGUUUUUCACUUUAUUUCAAAUGAAACCUGAGCAAGAUAAGACAAAUCUGUGAUUAAAUGACUGCCAUCUGUCCACCACCGCAUCUGAACACACAAAACAUCAAUCUCCUUGACAACACGUGAUGGAGUAUGGACCAGGCAAACAGAGUUGUGUGGGUCAGUGAACCAUAGACAUAAGAUCACAAUGUCACUAAGAGGGGCAUUAAUUCACCCAUCAAGGCAAUUAUCUCUUGUUUGUUAUCUCCCUCAUCCUCUGUUUUUUUCCCUUACAGUAAGAAGCUCCAAGCAUAUGGUGUGGUGCUCUGAAAAGGAGGCAAACUCUGUUAACUAGAAAACACACACACACACACACACACACACACACACACACACACACACACACACUCUUUCCUCUAGGAUGCCGAGGGUAUUUGAAACCCUUUGCGAUCGCAAAGAAUGUCAAAUAAAGAAUCAUGAAAAGAAGACAUGUAAACUAUUUGCAAGGUAAAUGCAGCCUAGUUGUACGGGAAAUACAUACAAAUUCCAACAUCUGCUGCCAGUGAUGAAACAAAACCCAUUGUUCUUUUGCCGGGGUGAAAAGAAACUUUUUUUAAGACGCAAUAAUAACAAAAAGGGAAAUCUUUGUUCUGCUUUGGUUUAACAUAAGAAAGACAAACGUGGUCUGAUAUCGUACCUUUACUCACAUUUUCUCUUUUAUUAUGCACCUGCAAAAAGAGAGAGAGAGAGAGAGAGAGAAAAAAAAUAUCCAUCGCCUGGUGAAUCUCCGACAUGCUUUGAACUAAUCAGGAAUUGGGAUCCUUUUGAAUUUGACUUUAUUAUCCAGCAAAGUCAUUUUUUUUUCUCGCUCUCUCUUUCAGGCAGACGAGACGAGAUCAGAUAGAUGGAGUCGUGUUGAGGAUCAUGCAGAUCCAAUCAUUAAAGCGAGAUAAGAUGCCCAGCAGGUGUGUCGGCUCGUCAGUUAUUGGGAACACCUGGGACCGGUGUUCCCAGUGCUAUGAGAGCACGUCCCACUGAUUCAUUGACAGAUUCUGAAAGAGAGAGAAAGGGGACACUUUGCUCUCUCCGCUCGCGCCAUGCUCAUCCUGGCGUACUUUUCACGAUACAACACCCCACUUACUGACCUAGCAUGCAUGCAUACACGGCACGCUAACACUACUGAUUCACUGACUGCCACAUCUCACCAUAGUUUUGCCUGUUAGUGUCCUCGUUAGUCGCUAAUAAAUUAACAGAUAAUGUUUUAAAUGGUUUUAAAUCUGUGUGAACUUCUGUUAUUUGUCAUGUCUGUGAGCCGGACAUGACAAUUGAUGUUUGGAAGUUCUAUCCUUACUUUAUAAUAAACAGUUAAACUUUA